CGUGAGCAAUCUGCCUUUGGAUGGGGGAUAACAGCCGGAAACGACUGCUAAUACCGCAUGAUGCAGCGGGGUCGCAUGAUUUUGCUGCCAAAGAUUUAUCGUCCAAAGAUGAGCUCGCGUCUGAUUAGCCAGUUGGCGGGGUAACGGCCCACCAAAGCGACGAUCAGUAGCCGGACUGAGAGGUUGAACGGCCACAUUGGGACUGAGACACGGCCCAGACUCCUACGGGAGGCAGCAG
rnacentral:rRNA from 1 species